GAUGAACGCUGGCGGCGUGCCUAAUACAUGCAAGUCGAGCGAACAGACGAGGAACUUGCUCCUCUGACGUUAGCGGCGGACGGGUGAGUAACACGUGGAUAACCUACCUAUAAGACUGGGAUAACUUCGGGAAACCGGAGCUAAUACCGGAUAAUAUAUUGAACCGCAUGGUUCAAUAGUGAAAGACGGUUUUGCUGUCACUUAUAGAUGGAUCCGCGCCGCAUUAGCUAGUUGGUAAGGUAACGGCUUACCAAGGCAACGAUGCGUAGCCGACCUGAGAGGGUGAUCGGCCACACUGGAACUGAGACACGGUCCAGACUCCUACGGGAGGCAGCAGUAGGGAAUCUUCCGCAAUGGGCGAAAGCCUGACGGAGUAACGCCGCGUGAGUGAUGAAGGUCUUCGGAUCGUAAAACUCUGUUAUUAGGGAAGAACAAAUGUGUAAGUAACUAUGCACGUCUUGACGGUACCUAAUCAGAAAGCCACGGCUAACUACGUG
rnacentral:rRNA from 1 species